UGUCUGAUGGCCUAAUGGUUAGAGCAUCUGCCUCGGAUGCGGGAGGUCAUGGGUUUGAUCCCUGGCCAAGUCAU